rnacentral:ribozyme from 13 species
AUUUUUCUCGAUUUUUGAUUUUUUUUUUGAUUUUUGGUUUUUUUUUUGGGCUUGGAUUUAAUGAGGAGAGGAAGAAAAGAGAAAGGGAGGUUGAGGGGGUGAAGGAGGAGGAGAGGGAAGAAAAGAGAAAGAA